rnacentral:snoRNA from 1 species
CUGGAUGACGAGCGGUUUCGGAGCUGAGAAGUGAUGAUACCAGCUAUCGCCGACA